UACGAAGGGGACUAGCGUUGUUCGGAAUCACUGGGCGUAAAGCGCACGUAGGCGGAUGUGUCAGUCAGGGGUGAAAUCCCGGGGCUCAACCUCGGAACUGCCUUUGAUACAGCACGUCUCGAGUCCGGAAGAGGUGGGUGGAAUUCCUAGUGUAGAGGUGAAAUUCGUAGAUAUUAGGAAGAACACCGGUGGCGAAGGCGGCCCCCUGGUCCGGUACUGACGCUGAGGUGCGAAAGCGUGGGGAGCAAACAGG
rnacentral:rRNA from 1 species